rnacentral:rRNA from 1 species
AACGAACGCUGGCGGCAGGCUUAACACAUGCAAGUCGAACGCCCCGCAAGGGGAGUGGCAGACGGGUGAGUACCGCGUGGGAACAUACCCUUUCCUGCGGAAUAGCUCCGGGAAACUGGAAUUAAUACCGCAUACGCCCUACGGGGGAAAGAUUUAUCGGGGAAGGAUUGGCCCGCGUUGGAUUAGCUAGUUGGUGGGGUAAAGGCCUACCAAGGCGACGAUCCAUAGCUGGUCUGAGAGGAUGAUCAGCCACAUUGGGACUGAGACACGGCCCAAACUCCUACGGGAGGCAGCAGUGGGGAAUAGUGGACAAUGGGCGCAAGCCUGAUCCAGCCAUGCCGCGUGAGUGAUGAAGGCCUUAGGGUUGUAAAGCUCUUUCACCGAUGAAGAUAAUGACGGUAGUCGGAGAAGAAGCCCCGGCUAACUUCGUG